GGAAGUGGUCAUACUAGCACUAAAGCACCGGAUCCCAUCAGAACUCCGAAGUUAAGCGUGCUUGGGCGAGAGUAGUACUAGGAUGGGUGACCUCCUGGGAAGUCCUCGUGUUGCAUUCC
rnacentral:rRNA from 2 species